rnacentral:rRNA from 1 species
UAAUACGAGGGGUGCAAGCGUUGCUCGGAAUUAUUGGGCGUAAAGGGUAGGUAGGUGGUCUGAUUUGUCUGGGGUGAAAGCCUUGAGCUUAACUCAAGAAGUGCCUCAGAAACGGUCAGACUGGAAUCUUGGAGAGGGUCGUGGAAUUCCCGGUGUAGCGGUGAAAUGCGUAGAGAUCGGGAGGAACACCAGAGGCGAAGGCGGCGACCUGGACAAGUAUUGACACUCAACUACGAAAGCGUGGGUAGCAAACAGGAUUAGAUACCCUGGUAGUCCACGCUGUAAACGAUGGGUACUAGGUUUGGUGGGUCUUGACCCCCGCCGAACCGGAGCUAACGCAAUAAGUACCCCGCCUGGGAAGUACGGUCGCAAGACUA